UACAGAGGGUGCGAGCGUUGUCCGGAAUCACUGGGCGUAAAGGGCGCGUAGGCGGCCUGGUAAGCGUGCGGUGAAAGCCCGGGGCUCAACCCCGGGUCGGCCGUGCGAACUGCGAGGCUGGAGCACUGUAGAGGCAGGUGGAAUUCCGGGUGUAGCGGUGGAAUGCGUAGAGAUCCGGAAGAACACCGGUGGCGAAGGCGGCCUGCUGGGCAGUGGCUGACGCUGAGGCGCGACAGCGUGGGAGGCAA
rnacentral:rRNA from 1 species